rnacentral:lncRNA from 1 species
CUCUCACUCUUGCUCUUGCUCUCUCUGUGUGUCUUUCUCUCUUUCACUCUGUCUUUCUCUCUGUGUCUUUCUCUUUCUGCCUCUCUCUCUGCCUCUCUUUGUGUCUUUCUCUCCCUCCCUCCCAUCUAUCCAUCCACUUCAUUUUCUCUUUGUCUUUUCCAACAUCCCUUUUUCUAUCCAGCCUGGCUCUUGUCCUAAGGAUCAGUUUCUCUCUCCGGCACUGACAUUCUCCCAGAGUCUCUGCCUCCUUCUAGCCUGUCUUAGGAUGUGUGACUGACUGAUGGUGCCUUCCUGCAGUGGAGGCCCAGGUGUGGUGUGGCCCCGUGGCCGGCCGGAUCGCCUGCUGUCUAACGCUCUGCCCAGGUCCUGUUAAUAGAGCUUCUCAAAACAGGUGAAGAUUUCUAGAAAUCCCUUCUGCAAAUUCACCUGUGGAUGCUGAAGGACAGAAGAUCGGUCAACUGGACAGUCAUGCGCAGCAUAGUCUCUAGUCACCUCCGUUUUCACUAAAUUUUGAAUAUGGCACUAGUAGUAGAAGACAAUAAGGAGAUGCACAAAACAUUCUCAACUUCACCUAGAUUUUCAUUGAAUUGUGAAAAAUGAGUUUACUUUUUUAACAAUGUAUUGUGAAGAAAUUGGAACUCUACACUAUAUAUUUGGAUGGGUCCUUG